UGCAUGAUUAGCUGAUGUAUUAAAGGGAUAUUGUCAGAAAGUGGAUUAAAAUGGUUUGUCAAUAUUCCUUUAAUUAAUUGCUAAAUGAGGGUAUGUAUCUGAUCAUUUUCAAGCCCGCGUUAGAAAUACCUGUUACUGUUUCAUUAUCUCCAUAACUCUUGAUUGGUGUUUGAUGUCUUAGGUCCCAAUUCUGCAAUGAGAUCUGUGCUACCAGAUGCCUGCCCCGGGGACCUGGAGCUCAUUGCAGGAUCAGGGCCUGAGUAGUGAGUUGCCACAUUACUGAUGCCUCCAGCAUGAGUGAUGAAUCUAAUCGAGAGUCAGAAAUUGGUCCCAGAGAGCACAUGGGCCCCAGUGGCUCUCUACAGUCUCGUGAAGAGAAACAGGAACCGGUGGUUGUUCGGCCUUACCCACAGGUUCAGAUGUUGACACAACACCAUCCUGUCCAAUCUGGUGCUGCCGUUACAGUGACAGCUCCACCAGCACAUCUGACUCCAGCAGUGCCACUUUCCUUUUCAGAGGGACUUAUGAAGGUAAUGAAGUGGCUCAUGACUGAGUUGAUAAUGAAAAUAAGCCACUAAAGGGGUUAAUAUUUUCCAGGUGUGAUCACAUUGCUCCAGGUUAAUUUCAGUUGUAUUUUAUUUACCUCCUCUUGGCUAAGCUGUUUUUUUUUCUAUAAAUUGCUUUAUUUAUUUAUUCAGCUCUUUUCUGUGCUCGUCUCCUGUGAAUAGGUGCCGCUUCUGUGUGGUGCCGCUACUCCAGAUGACAGAUGGGAACCUUGUAGCCCUGAGGCAGCAUUCUGUGGCCUUUCAACUUACUUUAUUUCUUAGAUUAAGGAUGAUCUAAAUCAAUUUUGUAACUCCUCCCCCCCCAAAUUCAUUCCUGGAACAGAUAGAAAAGAAUGUCAAUAAGAUAUGUGCUUGUACAUAUAAAUAAAGCAUGAAAAUUAAGUAAUGGAGACUCAUGCACAAACUAGGCAAUUUCUGCAGCUGGACAGAAUCCUCUUUGUGAGGAUGGGGUUAAGAGGAGAGAAGUAGACAGAUCUCUGUAAAGGAUAUCUGCAUCUUGAACAAAGGGUUGAUUACAGCCAUUUUCUCUUUUUUUCAGCUAACCCUUUUUUUCAGCUAAAACAUUAUCUUAGUUCUAAUUGUCAAAAGAGGAAUUGUGUAGAAAAGCUAAAGGCUAAGAAGGGAAGGGCAAU